rnacentral:rRNA from 1 species
UGAGUACGAGCUGCUACGGCAGCGAAGUGGGUGAUGUCAAGCCUCCAAGAAAAGCCCUAUACCCGUUAAGGCAUGACGGCCUGUACCCGAAACCGACACAGGUGGGGUGGUAGAGAAUACCGAGGGGCGCGAGAUAACUCUCUCUAAGGAACUCGGCAAAAUGGCCCCGUAACUUCGGGAGAAGGGGUGCCACCGCAAGGUGGUCGCAGCGAAGAGGCCCAGGCGACUGUUUACCAAAAACACAGGUCUCCGCUAAGUCGCAAGACGAUGUAUGGGGGCUGACGCCUGCCCAGUGCCGGAAGGUUAAGGAAGCUGGUCAGCGCAAGCGAAGCUAGCGACUGAAGCCCCGGUGAACGGCGGCCGUAACUAUAACGGUCCUAAGGUAGCGAAAUUCCUUGUCGGGUAAGUUCCGACCCGCACGAAAGGCGUAACGAUCUGGGCGCUGUCUCGGAGAGAGGCUCGGCGAAAUAGAAUUGUCUGUGAAGAUGCGGACUACGUGCACCCGGACAGAAAGACCCUAUGAAGCUUUACUGUAGCUUGGUAUUGUGCCCGGGCUCUGAAUGCGCAGGAUAGGUGGGAGGCUUUGAUCCAUUGCUUGUGGGUAAUGGUGAGCCACUGGUGAGAUACCACUCUUUCAGAGCUAGGGUUCUAACGGUCACCCGUUAUCCGGGGACCGGACAGUAUCAGGUGGGCAGUUUGACUGGGGCGGUCGCCUCCUAAAAGGUAACGGAGGCGCGCAAAGGUUCCCUCAGGCUGGUUGGAAAUCAGCCGACGAGUGUAAAGGCAGAAGGGAGCUUGACUGUGAGACCUACAAGUCGAACAGGAACGAAAGUCGGCCUUAGUGAUCCGACGGUUCUGAGUGGAAGGGCCGUCGCUCAACGGAUAAAAGUUACUCUAGGAUAACAGGCUGAUCUCCCCCAAGAGUUCACAUCGACGGGGAGGUUAGGCACCUCGAUGUCGGCUCAUCGCAACCUGGGGCUGAAGUCGGUCCCAAGGGUUGGGCUGUUCGCCCAUUAAAGCGGUACGCGAGCUGGGUUCAGAACGUCGUGAGACAGUUCGGUCCAUAUCCGGUGCACGCGCAGGAACAUUGAGAGGAUUUCUCCCUAGUACGAGAGGACCGGGAGGAACGCACCUCUGGUGUACCAGUUAUCGUGCCAACGGUAAACGCUGGGUAGCCAUGUGCGGAGCGGAUAACCGCUGAAAGCAUCUAAGUGGGAAGCCCACCUCAAGAUGAGUGUUCCCAUGGCAUAAGCCAGUAAGGUCACGGGAAGAACACCCGUUGAUAGGCUCUACGUGGAAGCGUGGCAACACGUGAAGCGGAGGAGUACUAAUAGACCGAGGGCUUGAC